rnacentral:rRNA from 1 species
GCAUAUCAAUAAGCGGAGGAAAAGAAACUAACAUAGGAUUCCCCUUAGUAACGGCGAGUGAACCGGGAUGAGCUCAAAUUUGAAAUCUGGUGGCCUUCAGGCAUCCGAGUUGUAAUCUAUAGAAGUGUUUUCCGUGCUGGCUCAUGUACCAGUCCCUUGGAAUGGGCGUCAUAGAGGGUGACAAUCCCGUCCUUGACAUGAACUCCCAGUGCUCUGUGAUACAUUUUCAACGAGUCAAGUUGUUUGGAAAUGCACUUCAAAUGGGGGGGUAAAUUCCAUCUAAGGCUAAAUAUUGGCAAAAAACCGAUAGCAAACAAGUCCCGUGAGGAAAAAAUGAAAAGCACUUUGAAAAAAAAGUUAAACAGUAUGUGAAAUUGUUGAAAGGAAAACAAUGGAAUUCAUCCUGGCUCUUGGGAUUCACCCGGUUCGGCCGGGGUACUUCCUUUGAGUGGGGUCAACAUCUUUUUUGAUCGCUGGAUAAGGGCGAGGAGAGUGGAACCCCCUCGGGUAAACUUAUCUCCUCUUGUAUGUGCCGGAGGUUGGGACUGAGGAACGCUUGAUGCCCUUAUGGCCGGGAUUCGUCCACGUACAUGCUUGUGAUGUUGAUGGCUUGGCUUUAACCGACCCGUCUUGAAACACGGACC